rnacentral:rRNA from 1 species
AUUGAACGCUGGCGGCAUGCUUUACACAUGCCAGUCGAACGGCAGCGCGGGCUUCGGCCUGGCGGCGAGUGGCGAACGGGUGAGUAAUACAUCGGAACGUGCCCAGUAGUGGGGGAUAGCUCGGCGAAAGCCGGAUUAAUACCGCAUACGACCUGAGGGUGAAAGCGGGGGAUCUUCGGACCUCGCGCUAUUGGAGCGGCCGAUGGCAGAUUAGCUAGUUGGUGGGGUAAAGGCCUACCAAGGCGACGAUCUGUAGCUGGUCUGAGAGGACGACCAGCCACACUGGGACUGAGACACGGCCCAGACUCCUACGGGAGGCAGCAGUGGGGAAUUUUGGACAAUGGGCGAAAGCCUGAUCCAGCAAUGCCGCGUGUGUGAUGAAGGCCUUCAGGUUGUAAAGCACUUUUGGCGGGAACGAAAAGGACUGUGCCAAUACCACGGUUCGAUGACGGUACCCGCAGAAUAAGCACCGGCUAACUACGUG